CGAAUCCCAAGUUCGGGCAGAAAGCGGGCUCGCUAGCAACAGGACGGAAAGUCAUAGUUCGGUAACGGAAUUUACUCGACUGGCAGGAAGGAUAACAUGGACUUUAUUUUCAAACAGUUUUAAUGAGGGAAGUGGUGACAUCAGAGGAGCGUUAUCGCCUUUCAGGUGAGUCUCAGACCUGACGGAUCACAGCUGAACAACGUAAAUCUGUCUGACGGCGAGAAACAGCCGACGAAUCAGCAAACAGGUUCCCUUGAAAACCUCCUUCCACCAGUGCAGUUGGUCCAAGUUGGACCAAACGACCAAACCUGUGAUGUUGGCUGCGCCCUGCAACACAACAAAUCUGUGCAACCACCUGAAGUUUAAACAUGCAGUGAUCUAUGAGCAGCUAAAACUCAGUCACUGGAGAGAUUCUGAAGGCAAAGCAGACCGAACCGAGUUGGUGCUCGAGGAAGCAGAAACCAUCAGCAAAGAUCACUGCAUCAAACCUCCACAGUAACCAUAAGACACCAUCUAACCACCAUCCAACUGUCAGACACAUCUAACCACCAUUCAACCGUCAGACACCAUCUAACCGUCAGACACCAUCUAACCGUCAGACACCAUCUAACCAUCUGACACCAUCUAACCGUCAGACACCAUCUAACCGUCAGACACCAUCUAACCAUCUGACACCAUCUAACCGUCAGACUCCAUCUAACCGUCAGACACCAUCUAACCAUCAGACACCAUCUAACCGUCAGACACCAUCUAAACGUCAGACACCAUCUAACCAUCUGACACCAUCUAACCGUCAGACACCAUCUAACCGUCAGACACCAUCUAACCGUCAGACACCAUCUAACCGUCAGACACCAU